CCUACGGGGGGCAGCAGUGGGGAAUAUUGGGCAAUGGGCGAAAGCCUGACCCAGCAACGCCGCGUGAAGGAAGAAGGUUUUCGGAUUGUAAACUUCUGUCCUCAGGGAAGAAGGAAGUGACGGUACCUGAGGAGGAAGCCCCGGCUAACUACGUGCCAGCAGCCGCGGUAAUACGUAGGGGGCGAGCGUUGUCCGGAAUGACUGGGCGUAAAGGGCGCGUAGACGGCUUUUUAAGUCUGGAGUGAAAGUCCUGCUUUCAAGGUGGGAAUUGCUUUGGAGACUGGGGAGCUUGAGUGCGGA
rnacentral:rRNA from 1 species